rnacentral:rRNA from 1 species
ACUCGAGUGGCGAACGGGUGAGUAACACGUGGGUGAUCUGCCCUGCACUUCGGGAUAAGCCUGGGAAACUGGGUCUAAUACCGGAUAGGAGCCAUCUUUAGUGUGGUGGUUGGAAAGUUUUUUCGGUGUAGGAUGAGCUCGCGGCCUAUCAGCUUGUUGGUGGGGUAGUGGCUUACCAAGGCUUUGACGGGUAGCCGGCCUGAGAGGGUGACCGGCCACAUUGGGACUGAGAUACGGCCCAG